rnacentral:lncRNA from 1 species
UCAAGCACAAAUUUGAAAGAGGGAAAAUAGAGUGUGGAGAAAUAUUUUGAGCAAAAUUAUAAAUAGCUGCUCAACUCACUUUUUCAGGAUGAGUAGCAAUUGACUACAGGUGAGAAGAAUUAUGGUCCUGUGUCUGGAAAAGAUGCAUUGAGAUGGUGUUUCUUGGCUCAAAGAUACAGUGAUGGCUCUGCCCAAGGAGAAGUGAAAGAGCUUCUGGAAGGAGAUAGGAUGGGAGGUAAUGGAAGUGAGCCCCAGCAGGGACAUGAGGAUAUCCCUUCCAAAUUGGUGAAGGAAGCUUUCAGGGUGCUUGAAGAACCCAGCAUGCUCACACGCCAACAGCUAGGAUGUUUCAAGACAGAGCUUCAACUUGGGUACCAGUGCCAACAAAUAUGUGUGUGACGUGUGAGCUCUCAGGGAACAUCUGGGAAGAUUCCUUGUGGUCCUGGGUGCCCUGUGCCCCUAGACAUCUCUGCCUCCCAUCACUUAAGGAAGCUAAUGGUCUGGAGCCAACGAAUGCAGACUCACACUGAGGGGUACUAGCUUCCAGCUGCAGUGGCGAUGCACAGGAUCUGGCCAAGUGCUAAGUUUCAUUGUAGCAGUGGCUGCUGUCCGGAUAAGUGCUCCUUGUCACUGCUGGACUCUUUCUGAUCCCUAAAUGGCCUGUGCAACCCUCCAGAUUGAGGAGCUUUCAAGGAAGUGAUGAAUUCACUUCAUGGUUCUGAUCUGUAGCUCCGAGUCCCCUGUCUCUGCUGGGCUCUGGGUUUUGGUGGCCUAUUCCUCUCUGUUCAUUCUGCCACUUCAAGGGGCAAACUCCGUGAUCCUGGCUUCUCUGGAUGAUGAAUCUUCUCCAUUACAGUCAUUUGGGGAGGUCCUGGCAAGCCACUACCAACCGGAAGAGUUCAGAAAAGGUUGCAAGGAGAUGCCACGUGUGCUUCCACCUCCCAGAAUCCUUCUCGCUGGCAUCUAUCUUGACUGAGCAAUGCAUGCACCACCAGUCAGAACAAUUGGCCAAAGACAACCCAGAAACUAAUCCCACCACCAUAAAGCCUGAGAUUCCGAACCAGGGGGAAGAGCAACUCUCCUGGGUUUCUUUACCCUGCUGCUCUCUGCCGGGGUGCCCCUUCC